rnacentral:rRNA from 1 species
GACAGAGGAGGCGAGCGUUAUCCGGAGUUAUUGGGCGUAAAGGGUACGUAGGCGGCUGGUCAAGUCUGGGGUUAAAGACCACAGCUUAACUGUGGGGGGGGCGUGGAAACUGACCGGCUGGAGUGGGGCAGGGGUUGCGGGAAUUCCCGGUGUAGCGGUGAAAUGCGUAGAUAUCGGGAAGAACACCUGAGGCGAAAGCGCGCAACUGGGCCCUAACUGACGCUGAGGUGCGAAAGCGAGGGGAGGGAAUGGG